CCUACGGGAGGCUGCAGUGGGGAAUAUUGCACAAUGGGCGCAAGCCUGAUGCAGCCAUGCCGCGUGUGUGAAGAAGGCCUUCGGGUUGUAAAGCACUUUCAGCGGGGAGGAAGGCGUUAAGGUUAAUAACCUUGGCGAUUGACGUUACCCGCAGAAGAAGCACCGGCUAACUCCGUGCCAGCAGCCGCGGUAAUACGGAGGGUGCAAGCGUUAAUCGGAAUUACUGGGCGUAAAGCGCACGCAGGCGGUCUGUCAAGUCGGAUGUGAAAUCCCCGGGCUCAACCUGGGAACUGUAUUCGAAACUGGCAGGCUAGAGUCUUGUAGAGGGGGGUAGAAUUCCAGGUGUAGCGGUGAAAUGCGUAGAGAUCUGGAGGAAUACCGGUGGCGAAGGCGGCCCCCUGGACAAAGACUGACGCUCAGGUGCGAAAGCGUGGGGAGCAAACAGGAUUAGAUACCCUAGUAGUC
rnacentral:rRNA from 1 species